rnacentral:rRNA from 1 species
UACGAAGGGGGCUAGCGUUGCUCGGAAUCACUGGGCGUAAAGCGCACGUAGGCGGCUUUUUAAGUCCGGGGUGAAAUCCUGGAGCUCAACUCCAGAACUGCCUUUGAUACUGAGAAGCUUGAGUCCGGGAGAGGUGAGUGGAACUGCGAGUGUAGAGGUGAAAUUCGUAGAUAUUCGCAAGAACACCAGUGGCGAAGGCGGCUCACUGGCCCGGUACUGACGCUGAGGUGCGAAAGCGUGGGGAGCAAACAGG